AGGCAAGUACUCGUGUGUUUGUUUACAUGGCGACAGAAAGCCACAAGAAAGGAAAGCAAAUUUACAGAAGUUUAAGGAUAAUAAAGUGAAGUACCUGAUCUGUACAGAUGUAGCAGCUAGGGGCAUUGACAUCAGUGGUUUACCAUACGUUAUUAAUGUUACUCUCCCUGAUGAGAAGCAGAACUACAUCCAUCGGAUUGGAAGAGUUGGAAGAGCAGAAAGAAUGGGUCUUGCA